rnacentral:piRNA from 1 species
UUUGACACAGAUGCUCAGAGCCAAGGAC